CAAAAGGUUCUUCUUGUUUUUAAAGACCUAGCAAUAGGUAUGCUUAGGGAGGAGCUUGCGUCACAUUAGUUAGUUGGUGGGGUAAAGGCCUACCAAGACUAUGAUGUGUAGCCGGGCUGAGAGGUUGAACGGCCACAUUGGGACUGAGACACGGCCCAAACUCCUACGGGAGGCAGCAGUAGGGAAUUUUCGCCAAUGGAGGAAACUCUGACCGAGCAACGCCGCGUGAACGAUGAAGUAUUUCGGUACGUAAAGUUCUUUUAUUAGGGAAGAAUAAAUGAUGGAAAAAUCAUUCUGACGGUACCUAAUGAAUGAGCCCCGGCUAACUAUGUGCCAGCAGCCGCGGUAAUACAUAGGGGGCAAGCGUUAUCCGGAAUUAUUGGGCGUAAAGGGUGCGUAGGCGGUUAAAUAAGUUUAUGGUCUAAGUGCAAUGCUCAACAUUGUGAUGCUAUAAAAACUGUUUAGCUAGAGUAAGAUAGAGGCAAGUGGAAUUCCAUGUGUAGUGGUAAAAUGCGUAAAUAUAUGGAGGAACACCAGUAGCGAAGGCGGCUUGCUGGGUCUUUACUGACGCUGAGGCACGAAAGCGUGGGGAGCAAACAGGAUUAGAUACCCUGGUAGUCCACGCCGUAAACGAUGAGUACUAAACGUUGGGUAAAACCAGUGUUGAAGUUAACACAUUAAGUACUCCGCCUGAGUAGUACGUACGCAAGUAUGAAACUUAAAGGAAUUGACGGGACUCCGCACAAGCGGUGGAUCAUGUUGUUUAAUUUGAAGGUACCCGAAAAACCUCACCAGGUCUUGACAUGCUUCUGCAAAGCUGUAGAAACACAGUGGAGGUUAUCAGUUGCACAGGUGGUGCAUGGUUGUCGUCAGCUCGUGUCGUGAGAUGUUGGGUUAAGUCCCGCAACGAGCGCAACCCUUAUUGUUAGUUACCAGCACGUAAUGGUGGGGACUUUAGCAAGACUGCCAGUGAUAAAUUGGAGGAAGGUGGGGACGACGUCAAAUCAUCAUGCCCCUUAUGACCUGGGCUACAAACGUGAUACAAUGGCUGUUACAAAGGGUAGCUGAAGCGCAAGUUUUUGGCGAAUCUCAAAAAAACAGUCUCAGUUGGGAUGGAAGUCUGCAACUCGACUUCAUGAAGUUGGAAUCGCUAGUAAUCGCGAAUCAAGGCCAUGGUUCG
rnacentral:rRNA from 1 species